CUUUAGAAAUUUGGAGAUCUCAAGGAAUAAAUAAAGUUUCACAGAUAUUAAACUCAGAUGAAAUAUUGCCUUUUGAUAUUAUAAUACAAAAAUACCAUCUCCCUCAACGAGAGUUAUUUACAUACUUGAGGCUUAAACAUUUUCUGCAGAAACAUCUUAUUAAAGAUUCUAGAAAAUCGCAUAUAAUGAUAAAACGCAUAUUUUCAAAUCAGAAUAUAUCGAAAGUUUUAGCUAAAGCAAUAGAGAUAAUCAGAAAUACUAAUGAGGUAGCUAAUUUUCCCCAGAAGACUAAAUGGGAAAAAGAUUUGAAGUGUUCUUUAGAACAAGAAGAUUGGUGUAAAGCUAUAAAUAAUACUCGCCGACAGGUCCAAUGUUUAAAUUUAUUAGAAACUUAUUAUAAGGUUAUGUAUAGAUGGUAUUUAGUUCCUAGCAAGCAAUCUCAGAUGUAUCCUGGAGUUACCUCUAGAUGUUGGAGAUGCGAUAAAGAGGAGGGAUCAUUCCUCCACAUUUGGUGGAGUUGUUCAAACAUUCAGACCUCUAUUAAGAGACUGAUAGGAUUUAUUAGAGAUAAUACUGGAAUAGAAUUAGAAAAGAAACCAGAGGUAGUCUUGUUACACAUGCAUUGGCCGAAUAUGUCAUAUAUAAAUAGUUGUUUUAUAAUUCACUGUCUUACUGCAUUUAAAAUUGUUCUUGCACGGAACUGGUCACGGAAUCAAGUAGUUUAUUGGGACGCCAUUAAAGAUCAAAUCAUCCUUCAGAUGAGGAUGGAAAGAGACCUAAGUAUACCGUAUUUGAAUUCCCCAAAAAGAAGGGAUCUAUGGCAAAGAUGGGUUAAUAAAAUAGAACCUACUAUAUAAAUUAAACAGAUACCUAUUAGAUCUGG
rnacentral:lncRNA from 1 species